GAAAUGCGAUAAGUAAUGUGAAUUGCAGAAUUCAGUGAAUCAUCGAAUCUUUGAACGCACAUUGCGCCCGCCAGUAUUCAGGCGGGCAUGCCUGUUCGAGCGUCAUUUCAACCAUCAAGCCCCCGGCUUGUGUUGGGGACCUGCGGCUGCCCGCAGGCCCUGAAAAACAGUGGCGGGCUCGCUGUCACACCGAGCGUAGUAGCAUACAUUCUCGCUCAGGGCGUGCUGCGGGUUCCGGCCGUUAAACGACCUUCAUAACCCAAGGUUGACCUCGGAUCAGGUAGGAAGACCCGCUGAACUUAAGC
rnacentral:misc_RNA from 1 species